ACAGGAAACUGAGGCAGAUUAAUAUGCUGAACUCUGAUCUCUGUGAAACAGACCAGGAGGCUAUGAAGAUGAUUUCUGACUGUGACAAACACACAAUAACAACCUGUGUCUACAGUCGUCACACAGUUUCAUGAGUCUCAGAGGAUCUUCAUGUACAUAUAUAUAGGUCUCUAAAAUGCUGUUUGCUUACUUGGUUUAAAAAAAUAAAAUCUAAUAAUUUUCAUUUUCAGACAGCAUUAUGAGUUUUAAACUUAUAGAUUGAUUAUCAUUCUUAAAUAAUCAGGAUGUUGACAUGAAAACAGUAAGGAAAAGAUCUGACCGUGUAAACAGAGUGAAUGGAAGGUGUUUUACUAUGUUAUAUUUGUUGACAUUAGUUUACAUUAGUUAACAUGAAAAGUUGACGCUACUUACCAAAAGUCAGAGCCAGAUUUAACCAUAUAACCUCCACAUAAACUUUUUUACCACAUUAUUGUAGCAUUUUGUAAAGGGCAACAUUUACAUGAAUUAAUGAAUCAAUAAAUCAAUCAGUAAGUAAAUGCAGUUUAAUAGGUUUUAGUAAAGCAUAUGAGGAUCAAGUGCAACAAAGGUAGUGUGAUAUUUGUGCAUUUUCACUAUGAACAUCACUUGUAAAUUCCAUAAGGUCCUUAAUUAGCAGUGAAAACUGUAAAAAGCUGGCACACAUAGGCUGCAAAAAUAUAAAAAUGUAAUAACAGACUAUCACACAGAUGAUGUGUCAAGCAUGCAGGGUCUUCAUCAGAUGUAUCGAUGUAUCGGCUCCAUAUUUUUUGAGGAAAUUAUCCAUACAUGCAUGAUUUUGCAAUAUCUGAAAAUGUCCUCAAUAAAUGUAUAUCUUUCAGUGUGCUGUGCUUGUCUGCUGGAGUUGUGGAUGAAUAAAUCAGAAUUUAAGAUCUGAAUAAAGAGAGUAUUAUUUUAUUCAUUCUAUUUAUUCAAGAGCCAGUGAAAUCUUUAAAAAAUAUUGUUUGUCACAAUAUGAAAAUAAGUAUGUACAGUCAGCUGAUCAUUAUUGCAA